CGGCCUCUCUCCUCGGUGAGCGUUCCGGGGUGGCACGCCGGCGAAAAGGGGUGGAGGGCCGCGUAUCUUUAAUGUGCUAUCUAAGAUCGAGUCUUCCAUUUUCGGUUCUCGAGCAGCACAACAUAUUUAGUCCACCAUGAAGCAUGUAUACCGUGUGCAAACGAUUAACAAGGUUGGAGAGAACCCUAUCCCCCUUUGAGGCGAACGCAAAGUUUGCUUUAGAGGGGUGAAACCAAGCGCGCGCGAAAAAAUUCUGCGAAGAGGUCAGUCGUUACCUUCGGCAAACGGAACAAGAAGUUCACCUGGGCUAAAGAUGGCGGAUAUCGUUUUUCAUUUAUGACCACGUUUCGAUGUCUUUAAACGAGACACUUUAGAGAUUCCCAUUUUAGAGAUGCUCGAUAUAGUUUCGAUCGAUUUUAUGAAUCGUAGGAAUUUUAAAAAUUGUAAAAUUCGUAGGUUCUCUAAGAAUUUAUUUAUUUACAUUUACAACAAAAUGCUAAAUUGAGCUUUCGUUAUUUACUUAUCGGACUUUAUCAUUAAAAAGUAUAAAUAAUUCAAAAAUUACUGUUCGAAUAUGCAUCAUCGACAACUAAUUAAUAAUUCUUAUAACAAUUAUAACGCUUCUUUCAUCAAACAAUCAAAUUCAAAUUACAUAAAAUCAAUCAUU